AUUGAACGCUGGCGGCAGGCCUAACACAUGCAAGUCGAACGGUAACAGGAAGAAGCUUGCUUCUUUGCUGACGAGUGGCGGACGGGUGAGUAAUGUCUGGGAAACUGCCUGAUGGAGGGGGAUAACUACUGGGAACGGUAGCUAAUACCGCAUAACGUAGCAAGACCAAAGAGGGGGACCUUCGAGCCUCUUGCCCUCGGAUGUGCCCAGAUGGCAUUAGCUAGUUGGUGGGGUAACGGCUCACCUAGGCGACGAUCCCUAGCUGGUCUGAGAGGAUGACCAGCCACACUGGAACUGAGACACGGUCCAGACUCCUACGGGAGGCAGCAGUGGGGAAUAUUGCACAAAGGGCGCAAGCCUGAUGCAGCCAUGCCGCGUGUAUGAAGAAGGCCUUCGGGUUGUAAAGUACUUUCAGCGGGGAGGAAGGGAAUAAAGUUAAUACCUUUGCGCAUUGACGUUACCCGCAGAAGAAGCACCGGCUAACUCCGUG
rnacentral:rRNA from 1 species